UUGACCUCGAAUCAGGUAGGGAUACCCGCUGAACUUAAGCAUAUCAAUAAGCGGAGGAAAAGAAACCAACCGGGAUUACCUCAGUAACGGCGAGUGAAGCGGUAACAGCUCAAAUUUGAAAUCUGGCUCCUGCGGAGUCCGAGUUGUAAUUUGUAGAAGAUGCUUUGGGAGGUAGGACCGGCCUAAGUUCCUUGGAACAGGACAUCAGAGAGGGUGAGAAUCCCGUAUGCGGCCGAGGCCUAUGCCCGUGUAAAGCUCUUUCGACGAGUCGAGUUGUUUGGGAAUGCAGCUCAAAAUGGGUGGUAAAUUUCAUCUAAAGCUAAAUAUUGGCCAGAGACCGAUAGCGCACAAGUAGAGUGAUCGAAAGAUGAAAAGCACUUUGGAAAGAGAGUUAAACAGUACGUGAAAUUGUUGAAAGGGAAGCGCUUGCACCCAGACUUGGGCGUCGUCGAUCAUCCGAGGUUCUCCUCGGUGCACUCGGCGAUGCGCAGGCCAGCAUCGGUUUGGGUGGUUGGAGAAAGGCCUCUAGGAACGUAGCUCUCUUCGGGGAGUGUUAUAGCCUAGGGCGUAAUGCAGCCCAUCCGGACCGAGGACCGCGCCUUUGGGCUAGGAUGCUGGCGUAAUGGUUGCAAGCGACCCGUCUUGAAACACGGACCAAGGAGUCUAACAUCUAUGCGAGUGUUUGGGCGUUAAACCCAUACGCGGAAUGAAAGUGAACGUAGGUGAGAACCCGUUAGGGUGCAUCAUCGACCG
rnacentral:rRNA from 1 species